GAGCCACCCUGAGAGCACUGUGGGAGCGGCUGAGCUGGAAUCCAGAACUAAGACUACGGAAUAGCAAUGUGGAGCUGCAGCAGCAGAGGUGGCCCUGCUUCAAGGCCCUGAUUGUCCCCGACUCUGCAGCGGAGCUUGAUGUUGGAAGUCAGCCCGCCCUUCACUCCCAGGCUGGGCUAAGGCUCUUGAGGCUGCCAGGAUUUCAGUAGAAAGCCUGGGGCCAGAUCCUUCGCAGAAGACUGAAGAAGACAGGACAGGGUGAAUUUGCAGUGCCGAGUCUCCAUUCCCUUCAGGACAAACCAGCCAUAGGCAGGAAUGCAUGCAGCAUGCCUAGCACAGUGCCUGACAGAGUGAUAAAUGUCCAUCCCCUCGCAUUCCACCACCUGGUCUUCUUCCUUUAGCAUGUGAGGUGGCCAGCAGGGUCACACAUUUACAGAGGAACUCUGCUAUCCAGGGAAAACCAUUUGGCAUGGGCUCCUGGAGUGUCUUGUAAUUCCUAGAAACCAGUGAUGAAGCUGUGCAUGAGAUCCAGGUACCAAGACACAUCCGGUACAUUCUGUGAAGAUGAGGAAUCUUGCAGGAAAAAAAGACUUGGUGGUCCAGGGCCUCUCUGUCUGGCAUCCCAGUUGGAAGAAGUGAGCCUGCACAUUGCUCCUUGGGUUCUCCAUGAAGAAGCUAUUCUGGCUAAGGAAGGGUCUCUGGGCUCUUGGGACUUCCUGAGACUGGGUAAUUUAUAAAGAAAGGAGUUUAUUUAGCUCAUGGUCUGCAGGCUGUACAAGGAGUGUGGUGCCAGGAUCUGCUUCUGAGGAGGGCCUCAGGAAGCUUACAGUCACGGCAGAAGGCAAAAGGGGAACAGACAUGUCACAAGAUGACAGGGAGCAAGAGACAGAGAAGGGGGAGGUCCCAACCUCUUUUAAACAACCAGAUCUCCUGUGAACCAACUGAGCGAGAGCUCACUCAUCACCAAUGGGAUAGUUUGACUCCUUCAAACAGAUCAUGUCCUGACUCCAGAGGAAGCUCCGCAGGCAGCCUUUCUGGCUGCUGGUGCCAUAAACCCUCGCAGGAGUGAAUUUAAUAUCUAUUCUGUUCCCAAGUGACCCUGAAGUUCCAUGGUACAUAAUAAAUUUUGUCAGUGUGGUGAGAAGUUCCCAACUGGGAGCAAGAACUAUAGACAGAAAGCUGCCUGCACAGGGUUCAUUAACGCCUCUGCUCAUCGUUGGGCUCUGUGCUAAUGGUCUGGACAAGAGGAAGGUCCUCAGGUGGGAGGUGAAGCAUCUGUGAACUUUGCAUUUCAUGUCUGUGGCCUUGAAAAGAGGCUCGUGCCUCUUCAGAAACCAUGGAGCCGGCAUGGACAUGAGCCGGUAGCUUCACGUCAGUAGCUUCUCCACACAUUUCUGUCAUCUCAAGAGCACCAAAGGACAAACAGCAAUGGUGUGUUGAAAUGCUGCCAGGAGACUGAGAAUCUGGGGGUGGGGGCACCCUAGCCCCAGAAAUUGGUGUGCAGGAACCAGCUCUUCAUCCCACACAGAGUCAUCAGUCAACACCUCUUAAAACCAUGCCCCUCAAGAUCAUUUUCUCUCCAAUUUUAGGACAGAAUGAAAAGUUGACUGAAAGUCAAGGUUCAGCUGAAAGGUCUGAUUCUCCCACACAUAUUUUACACAGAGUCCCAUGUGGGAGAGAAACAACCCAGCAGGACUGGACGGGUUGUGACCAUCGCUGCCUUCCACCUUCCCUUUCCGACUCGAGGACACCAAGUCAGAGGCUCAGCCGCCUGCCGAAGUCUCCCAGCUACUGAAAGAUGGCACGGGAGGUGGAGCCCUGAUGCCUCCAGGUCGCUACCCCCAACUCCUGCAGGACCCCCAACAAAGGCAGUGUUCUGUCCCCCAGGCACCCCACCCUACGCCAUCAGCCAUGGUCUCG
rnacentral:lncRNA from 1 species